CCUUAGUAAAGUGGCGUACGGGUGAGUAACACGUGGAUCAUACACCUUUUAGUGGGGAAUAACUUUGGGAAACCGAAGCUAAUACCGCAUAAGCCCGAGAGGGGAAAGCAGCAAUGCGCUGAAAGAGUAGUCCGCGGCUGAUUAGCUAGUUGGUGAGGUAAUGGCUCACCAAGGCUUUGAUCGGUAGCCGGCCUGAGAGGGCUCACGGCCACACUGGCACUGAAACACGGGCCAG
rnacentral:rRNA from 1 species